UACGGAAGGCAGCAGUGGGGAAUAUUGCACAAUGGGCGCAAGCCUGAUGCAGCCAUGCCGCGUGUAUGAAGAAGGCCUUCGGGUUGUAAAGUACUUUCAGUCGUGAGGAAGGUGUUAAGGUUAAUAACCUUAGCAAUUGACGUUAGCGACAGAAGAAGCACCGGCUAACUCCGUGCCAGCAGCCGCGGUAAUACGGAGGGUGCGAGCGUUAAUCGGAAUUACUGGGCGUAAAGGGCACGCAGGCGGUUAAUUAAGUUGGAUGUGAAAUCCCCGGGCUUAACCUGGGAAUGGCAUUCAAGACUGGUUAGCUAGAGUCUUGUAGAGGGGGUAGAAUUCCAUGUGUAGCGGUGAAAUGCGUAGAGAUGUGGAGGAAUACCGGUGGCGAAGGCGGCCCCUGGGACAAAGGACUGACGCUCAUGUGCGAAAGCGUGGGGAGCAAACG
rnacentral:rRNA from 1 species